CCUACGGGCUGCAGCAGUGGGGAAUAUUGCACAAUGGGGGAAACCCUGAUGCAGCGACGCCGCGUGAGCGAUGAAGUAUUUCGGUAUGUAAAGCUCUAUCAGCAGGGAAGAAAAUGACGGUACCUGACUAAGAAGCCCCCGCUAAAGACGGGCCAGCAGGCAGGGUAAUACGUAGGGGGCAAGCGGUAUCCGGAUUUAAUGGGUGUAAAGGGAGCGUAGACGGAAUGGCAAGCCAGAUGUGAAAGCCUGGGGCUCAACCCUAGGACUGCAUUUGGAACUGUCAUGCUAGAGUGCCGGAGAGGCAAGCGGAAUUCCUAGUGUAGCGGUGAAAUGCGUAGAUAUUAGGAGGAACACCAGUGGCGAAGGCGGCCUGCUGGACGGUGACUGACGUUGAGGCUCGAAAGCGUGGGGAGCAAACAGGAUUAGAUACCCUUGUAGUC
rnacentral:rRNA from 1 species